UACUGCAUUUUUUCUUACACAUGUGUUUUUCUUUUUUUGAAAACUUUGCUUUGGUAGGCUCUGUAUGGGGCCUGCCAGAGAUUAAACUCAACCAAAUUUUAUUUAAUGUCAACCGAUUAUUUAAUAGUCAAAACUUUCAACAACGGAUCUCUUGGUUCUCGCAUCGAUGAAGAACGCAGCGAAAUGCGAUAAGUAAUAUGAAUUGCAGAUAUUCGUGAAUCAUCGAAUCUUUGAACGCACAUUGCGCCCUUUGGUAUUCCAAAGGGCAUGCCUGUUUGAGCGUCAUUUCUCCCUCAAACCCUCGGGUUUGGUGUUGAGCGAUACGCUGGGUUUGCUUGAAAGAAAGGCGGAGUAUAAACUAAUGGAUAGGUUUUUUCCACUCAUUGGUACAAACUCCAAAACUUCUUCCAAAUUCGACCUCAAAUCAGGUAGGACUACCCGCUGAACUUAAGCAUAUCAAUAAG
rnacentral:rRNA from 1 species